GACGAACGCUGGCGGCGUGCCUAAUACAUGCAAGUCGAACGCAGUGGGGACGGGUGAGUAACACGUGGGUAACCUCCCAUCAGAGGGGAUAACCCUUGGCAACAGGUGCUAAACCGCUACUGAUUGAUGGACCCGCGGUGCAUUAGCUAGUUGGUGGGGUAACGGCUCACCAAGGCCACGAUGCAUAGCCGACCUGAGAGGGUGAUCGGCCACACUGGAACUGAGACACGGCCCAGACUCCUACGGGAGGCAGCAGUAGGGAAUCUUGGGCAAUGGGCGAAAGUCUGACCGAGCAACGCCGCGUGAGUGAAGAAGGUUUUCGGAUCGUAAAACACUGUUGGCAGAGAAGCGGUAUUUAAACAGAAAGCCACGGCUAACUACGUGCCAGCAGCCGCGGUAAUAC
rnacentral:rRNA from 1 species